AAGAUGUAGGUUUCUCAUGCUUCCUGGCUCCUUCUCGUGACUGUGAGAAUCAUCAUGAGACUCUACUGAUGAUGUCUUUGAAAUAACCUUAAAACAUGCCUAUGUUAUGGUAGUAAUGUUCAGUUCAGGCAACGUCCAGCCACAGCAUGAAAAGUUCCAAAGGGAAUCGAAACACCAGUUCUUUCUACUGGGACAGACUGCUAGCAGGUCUGCUCCCUGGAAGAGACUAUAUCUUCAGACAAACCAGAGGAUCUGCUACACCCAGCAUUUGGUGAGAAGGUCUUAGCAGCUGGAAGCCCCAUGUGACAUCCCGGUCAAGAUUAACUGGGUUCCUUUCAGCCGAAUCCGCAUCUCAUACAGCCUCGAGUGUUCGUGUACUUGACUGACUCUGCCUUUGAGGAAAGUCUCCCUUCAGUGUGUUCUCAUUUUCCUGCUUCCGGUGACUCUUCCACAUCCAGAACAGGCGCAUCGCAGAGAAAGGCCAAUGAAUAUUUAUUUGUUAAAAACAAAUACGUGGACGAACAGAUCUCCUGCAGCUCUUAUAUCCAGACUUCAAUCGUAUCCUGAUUCGACAAGGUUUGUUGUGGCUUAGGCAGCCUCUCAGCCCAUUUUAAACAGUUCUGGGCAGCGGCCUGUAAUUCUGCUUGCUCGCCUGUUUCUUCCCCUGCUCCUCAAAAUCCUUCCAGCCUGAAGCCUUAUUCUACACCAGUGUCUAGACAAACUGUAUAUAUGCAUGGAAGCUUGACCGGCCGCUACCAGUCUACAACAUUAAUCUGUGCACUUUGCCCAUUAUAGACCUGGUCCUUCCGUACCCCUACGAGGGCCCAUGGAACUAUUGGGAGAGCUGAAAAACUGCGAGGCGGGAGCCUGUUAGCCUUUAUGUCACUGAGGAUUUGUCUUUGAAGGAGACGUGGAAGGCAGGGGGAUACCCUGGUGUAUUUCCUCUCUUUCCUUCUUAGAGAUAAGAACAUGCUUUUUCCAAGCUCCAAGCAAUGAGAAAAACUGACCCUGGGCUGAAAUAAACACUUUUAUAAGU